rnacentral:tRNA from 1 species
UCCGCAAUAGUUUAGUGGCUAGAAUUUCCGCCUGUCAGUCGCGGGGGACCGGAGUUCAAUUCUCCGUUGCGGAG